UACGAAGGGGGCUAGCGUUGUUCGGAAUUACUGGGCGUAAAGCGUAUGCAGGCGGAUCAUUAAGUCGGGGGUGAAAUCCCGAGGCUCAACCUCGGAACUGCCUUUGAUACUGGCGAUCUUGAGUCCGGGAGAGGUGAGUGGAACUGCGAGUGUAGAGGUGAAAUUCGUAGAUAUUCGCAAGAACACCAGUGGCGAAGGCGGCUCACUGGCCCGGUACUGACGCUGAGGUGCGAAAGCGUGGGGAGCAAACAGG
rnacentral:rRNA from 1 species